rnacentral:rRNA from 1 species
UACGUAGGGGGGCAAGCGUUGUCCGGAUUUAUUGGGCGUAAAGAGCGUGUAGGCGGCCCUGGAAGGUCAGCUGUGAAAACUCGAGGCUCAACCUCGAGACGUCGGUUGAAACCACCUGGCUAGAGUCCGGAAGAGGAGAGUGGAAUUCCCGGUGUAGCGGUGAAAUGCGCAGAUAUCGGGAAGAACACCCGUGGCGAAGGCGGCUCUCUGGGACGGUACUGACGCUGAGACGCGAAAGCGUGGGGAGCGAACGAGG